GAUGAAGAACGCAGCGAAAUGCGAUAAGUAAUGUGAAUUGCAGAAUUCAGUGAAUCAUCGAGUCUUUGAACGCACAUUGCGCCCCCUGGUAUUCCGGGGGGCAUGCCUGUCCGAGCGUCAUUGCUGCCCCCAAGCACGGCUUGUGUGUUGGGCCGUCGUCCCCCUCCUAGGGGACGGGCCCGAAAGGCAGCGGCGGCACCGCGUCCGGUCCUCGAGCGUAUGGGGCUUCGUCACCCGCUCCGUAGGCCCGGCCGGCGCUUGCCGACGACCAUCAAUCUCUUUCUCCAGGUUGACCUCGGAUCAGGUAGGGAUACCCGCUGAACUUAAGCAUAUCAAUAAGCGGAGGA
rnacentral:misc_RNA from 1 species